GCUGUAGAUGGCUCAGCUGGUUAGAGUGUGGUGCUGGUAACACCAAGGUUACAGGUUCAAGUGCCAUAUGGGACAGCU